rnacentral:lncRNA from 1 species
AGGAAAGAUCCCCCGGCGGCGAAUGGUCUGUGCCUGGUGUCAUCGCGCGGUCGGACCCGCCUCUGCGCUGGGGUUGCUGUGCUGCUACUCUCCGGUCGUUACACCAAGAAGGGGCUGCAGGCGAAGCCAUCACGCCAGGCAGGCCCCGCCCCUAACCUGUGAGGGCGGUUCGGUCUGCGCCCUCGGAGGGUGGGCGCCGCGCCAGGGGGACACACCCGGACUUGGCUCGCAGGGACGGCCGGAGAGGGAGGUGUGGCUUCCGCGGGUGUUGGAAGGGAGCAAUGGCCCUGACUAGUGGGAAGGCUAGCGGGCUGAGUCCUUUCCAGCUUAGCGGAGAGCUCGGCGUUCGUCAGCCAACCUCUUGCCUGUCCUAGCUCCCUGGCGGAGAACUUGAACUUGCAGGUUCCUAGGGUGAGAGGAUGGCUCCUGGGCCUGCCUCUGUGGAAUGAGAACUUUGCGCCUGCUGCAGUAAAAUUUACCUUGAGGCCUUACUGUGUGGUGGCGCCUCUGGGUCUAGUACUCCUUCAGGUCUGACUUCCCAAACAAAAUGGCCCCAGUGAGCUUAGGAAAGCACAGUUGUCAUGAAGAUUU